UACGGAGGGUGCGAGCGUUGUCCGGAAUCACUGGGCGUAAAGGGCGCGUAGGUGGCCCGUGGAAGUCUGCGGUGAAAGCCCGGCGCUCAACGCCGGGUCGGCCGUGGAUACUCUCGGGCUUGAGCUUACUAGAGGCAGAUGGAAUUCCGGGUGUAGCGGUGGAAUGCGUAGAGAUCCGGAAGAACAUCGGUGGCGAAAGCGCUCUACUGGACCGCAACUGACACUCAGGGACGAAAGCUAGGGGAGCGAAUGGG
rnacentral:rRNA from 1 species